CUAGAGAUAAGUAAGAUCCAUCUGUUUUUAAUGUUACAAUUGUGGAGAGGAUAUGUAUCUAUGAUGAAUACAUACUAAAUCCAACUUCCAAGAAAGAUAAAAGAAGCUAGGGAGAGAAUUGUACAGAAUAUGCUUUAAGUUGUUGUAAAUCUUCAACCACCUAGAAAAGUUUUGGAAUAACAAAUUGAGAUUUAAAAGGUGUGUAUUUCUUUGAAAAUUAUAGAGCUCAAUAAUGUAUGCAAACCAUGGCAGAAAGGUCUUACAAUUCACUCUGCGUUCUAACUGAAACAAAGACAACAUUGUCAGCCAAAGUAAGCUUUCAGAAUGUCUGUCCAUACAUAAUAAUGAAAGAAAGGAUCAAAGUUUUAGCAUGCUAGUGUCACUAUAGUGGGAGAGUGGCCCUUGUCAACUAUAGGAGUUCAUAGUGAAGCUAGUGCAGCAAUUUAGUGCAACAGUCAUAGUUGACCAAAUAGUGAGCUAAAACAGUUUUGACGGCAGCAUGUGUUAAUUUCAAAGAAAAAAAAAUCUAAACAAAGAC
rnacentral:lncRNA from 1 species